rnacentral:lncRNA from 1 species
AAAAGACAAAUAAAAUGGAAUCUUAUUUGCAUCUGAUUUACAUUAUCCUGAAGGAACAAACACUGUAUCAACACUGUGCAGAUGUGUUUUAACCCAGCAGAAUAUUUCAGUGAGUUUUAUGUUCCUUUAAAUACUAAAGUUUGGUCUGUGAAAGAAGCAUGCUGUUGUGAAGCUUCAUCAGACUUCAAGCGGGAUUGGGAUGAAAAGACCCUCUUUCACCUCAAUUAUUGGAAAAUGCAGGCCUCAUUUUCCACUAAAGUUGUGCCCAGACAGUGCAAAGAAGAACUGCAGGAGAAGGAUGAGACCAGCUCUGAGCAAGCAGGAGUAUCUCCACUGCACAGCACUGCAACAUGUUGUCAAAAUUAUUGACAGCAUUUUGGGGAUGCCAUAAUAUUGGCACAGUGUGGAUGGGGCUAUUUCAGGGAUCUUUCCACAAAGUAGCAGAGAUGUAACCAAGCUAUAGUAGUAGCAGCCCAAACAAGCAGCAACAAAAGUUUAAUGGCACAGGGAAACUAGUAAAAAUACCAAAGUUGAUGGUUUUCUUCCAACAAUCAGAAGCGUUCAAAAUUAGAAAUAUUGAAUAAAUAGAAAGAAUGACUUAGUGUCA